rnacentral:piRNA from 1 species
ACACAAGACCAAGCGAUGCUGGAGCAUGG